UACAGAGGGUGCGAGCGUUAAUCGGAAUUACUGGGCGUAAAGCGUGCGUAGACGGUAGCGUAAGUCAGAUGUGAAAGCCCCGGGCUCAACCUGGGAACUGCAUUUGAGACUGCUCUGCUCGGGUGCGGAAGAGGGAUGCGGAAUUCCAGGUGUAGCGGUGAAAUGCGUAGAUAUCUGGAGGAACACCGGUGGCGAAGGCGGCAUCCUGGACCAAUUCUGACGCUGAGGAGCGAAAGCCAGGGGAGCAAACGGG
rnacentral:rRNA from 1 species